UUGACAGCCAUCCCUUCGUGCAAUUUCUCCUGCAAGAAUGGAACAAGGCCAUUGUGUUUUACUAGCAAAGGUUGGCAGGCCUGCAUGUGCGACUGUGAGGUUACUACAGCACCUUGUCCACCACAUGACAGGAAUGCUUGUGCUACUGGCGUAAAUUUUACAUGCACCAGCGCUGGCAGUAUGUGUAAUUGCUUAUGUGAGAGCAAUGGAGUGCCUCAUCUGUCCGGAUGACGUAAUUGCGUUAUUUAGACACCUACAUGAUCUCCUCAUGCAUUUCGUACAUAUUUCUUUU